GUCUUUGUGAAAUUUCAUAUAAAGUCCGGCCUGCCCAAUGAUAUAAAAUUUAAUGGCCGCGGUAUACUGACCGUGCAAAGGUAGCAUAAUAAUUAGUCUUUUAAUUGAAGACUAGAAUGAAAGGUCAAACAAGAAGCCAACUGUCUCUAAAUUAAAUCUUGAAUUUAACAUUUAAGUGAAAAGGCUUAAAUAUCUUAGGGGGACGAUAAGACCCUAUAAAUCUUCAUGUUUGAAUUUAUAAAGUAAAAUAUUAAAUAGUCUUUUUAUUUAAUAAAUUUAAAUAUUUUGUUGGGGCGACAGAAGUAUAAAAUGUAACUGCUUUAAAACAAUAGUUAAUUAUAUUUAGUCAAGCGAUCCUUUAAUAAAGAUACUAGUCUAAGUUACUUUAGGGAUAACAGCGUAAUUUUUUUUAAGAGUUCGUAUCGAAAAAAAAGUUUGCGACCUCGAUGUUGAAUUAAAGACCCUUUGUGGCGCAGAAGUUACAAAAGGAGGUCUGUUCGACCUUUAAACCUUUACAUGAUUUGAGUUCAGACCGGUGUAAA
rnacentral:rRNA from 1 species